rnacentral:rRNA from 1 species
UACAGAGGUCUCAAGCGUUGUUUGGAUUCAUUGGGCGUAAAGGGCGUGUAGGCGGUUAUUUAAGUCAGGGGUGAAAGCCCUGGGCUUAACCUAGGAAUUGCGCUUGAGACUGGAUAGCUUGGAGUGCGGCAGAGGGAGGUGGAAUUCCACGUGUAGCAGUGAAAUGCGUAGAGAUGUGGAGGAACACCGAUGGCGAAGGCAGCCUCCUGGGCCAGCACUGACGCUCAUGCACGAAAGCGUGGGGAGCAAACGGG